CAGUCGCCGCGGUAAUACGAAGGGUGCAAGCGUUACUCGGAAUUACUGGGCGUAAAGCGUGCGUAGGUGGUGGUUUAAGUCCGUUGUGAAAGCCCUGGGCUCAACCUGGGAAUUGCAGUGGAUACUGGGUCACUAGAGUGUGGUAGAGGAUAGUGGAAUUUCCGGUGUAGCAGUGAAAUGCGUAGAGAUCGGAAGAAACAUCUGUGGCGAAGGCGACUAUCUGGGCCAACACUGACACUGAGGCACGAAAGCAUGGGGAGCAAACAGGAUUAGAUACCCCGGUAGUCCCUGUCUCUUAUAC
rnacentral:rRNA from 1 species